CGACUCUCGGCAACGGAUAUCUCGGCUCUCGCAUCGAUGAAGAACGUAGCGAAAUGCGAUACUUGGUGUGAAUUGCAGAAUCCCGUGAACCAUCGAGUCUUUGAACGCAAGUUGCGCCCAAAACCAUUCGGUUGAGGGCACGUCUGCCUGGGCGUCACGC
rnacentral:rRNA from 1 species